AACAUAACCAAGCCUCCUCCAUGCUUCACAGUAGGUAUGGUGAGAUAACCAAGCCUCCUCCAUGUUUCACAGUAGGUACAAUGAGAUA